rnacentral:sRNA from 2 species
GUGCACUCGUGCACUGCUGUUCCGAGCAUGCCGUCCCCACACCGCCGACGACUGCUCGCUACGUGUUGUCAGCC